CGUAGGGGGCAAGCGUUGUCCGGAUUUAUUGGGCGUAAAGAGCGUGUAGGCGGCCAGACAGGUCCGUUGUGAAAACUCGAGGCUCAACCUCGAGACGUCGACGGAAACCGUCUGGCUAGAGUCCGGAAGAGGAGUGUGGAAUUCCUGGUGUAGCGGUGAAAUGCGCAGAUAUCAGGAAGAACACCUAUGGCGAAGGCAGCACUCUGGGACGGUACUGACGCUGAGACGCGAAAGCGUGGGGAGCGAACAGG
rnacentral:rRNA from 1 species